CAAAGUGUGUUUGCCUUGAGAGAUCCACCCCAUUUGGAAGAAAAAUGAAGAGGAAAUAGCCUUGUGAGGCUUCCACCCGAGAAGAGAGAAAGAGUUCAAAGAAAAGUGCUUGGCUACUCCUUUUCACUUAGUACUCGUGAGCUUAUUUCUUGCCAUUUUCCUAUCAUCAAGCUUCAUUGCUUCUAGAAAUUCAUCCUUUGUUGAGAGAUAUGAGUUAUUUUUCCUAGUGGUUAAGAAACAUGAAAGAAAAAGCUUUGGAUCAAGAGGAAAAGAAUAUGGAUGAUCCACGAGUUCAACCAAUUUAUGAUUUACAAGGUUUGAAAGAGAAUAGCUACAUGCAUGUUACCAAACCAUUGUUGAAUGGUGGAAAUUGAGGUA